rnacentral:tRNA from 1 species
CGGUGUAGCUCAAUUGGUAGAGCAGCUGAUUUGUAAUCAGCAGGUUGCGGGUUCAAGUCCCUUCGCCG